rnacentral:rRNA from 1 species
UUGACUUAGCGGCGGACGGGUGAGUAACGCGUGGGUAACCUGCCUUACACUGGGGGAUAACAGUUAGAAAUGACUGCUAAUACCGCAUAAGCGCACAGGGCCGCAUGGUCCGGUGUGAAAAACUCCGGUGGUGUAAGAUGGACCCGCGUCUGAUUAGGUAGUUGGUGGGGUAACGGCCCACCAAGCCGACGAUCAGUAGCCGACCUGAGAGGGUGACCGGCCACAUUGGGACUGAGACACGGCCCAAACUCCUACGGGAGGCAGCAGUGGGGAAUAUUGGACAAUGGGCGAAAGCCUGAUCCAGCGACGCCGCGUGAGUGAAGAAGUAUUUCGGUAUGUAAAGCUCUAUCAGCAGGGAAGAAAAUGACGGUACCUGACUAAGAAGCCCCGGCUAACUACGUGCCAGCAGCCGCGGUAAUACGUAGGGGGCAAGCGUUAUCCGGAUUUACUGGGUGUAAAGGGAGCGUAGACGGUUUAGCAAGUCUGAAGUGAAAGCCCGGGGCUCAACCCCGGUACUGCUUUGGAAACUGUUAGACUUGAGUGCAGGAGAGGUAAGUGGAAUUCCUAGUGUAGCGGUGAAAUGCGUAGAUAUUAGGAGGAACACCAGUGGCGAA